GAUGAAGAACGCAGCGAAAUGCGAUAAGUAGUGUGAAUUGCAGAAUUCCGUGAAUCAUCGAAUCUUUGAACGCACAUUGCGCCUUCUGGUAUUCCGGAAGGCAUGCCUGUUCGAGAGUCAUUAACAACCGUUUCGAUCCCUUUCUUUCAGAAAUUACAAAGAGGAAAAGGGUUUGGUUAUGGUGGAGGAGGGAAAGGGAGCGUUUAGCCUGUAAAAAAAGAGGCUGUGUUCCGCCUCCCCCCCAAAAUUGUACAGGCGGUCGUGUGCGCCCACGCAUCGAGGUGUUGUAAAAGCUGCCACGGCACUUUGCACCUGUGCAGUGCGAGAUUGGCCAGCCGGUUUAAAAACCCCUCCAAACAAUCAAAGGUUGACCUCGGAUCAGGUAGGGAUACCCGCUGAACUUAAGCAUAUCAAUAAGCGGAGGA
rnacentral:misc_RNA from 1 species